AACAGAAACCAUACCAACAGCAACCCAAACACCAGCACCUUCAAGUAACAUGUCUUCUGGACAUGUUUAUAGUAUGACAGUAGGACUUUUAAGGGAGGAAUAUUCAAAUGAGCUCAAUGACCCAAGCACUGAGCAAUAUAAAAACCUCAAAUAUCGAGUGGAAAAAUCUGUAAGUAUGAAUAAUUUGUCUUUAAUGAAUGUUAUAGGUGUAGCUUUGGAUAUUGAUUUUAAUAUUUGAAUUCAAAACUUUAUUUUACAGUGUGACAAAGUGUACAGAAACAAAUUUCCUAAACGUUUUGAUCACUGUAAAGUAAAGCAGUUCAGGUAAUACAUUUUCACUCAUGCUCUUAAUUUACUGCACAAAGCAUUUUACUGAUUCAUGUCCCAUGUGUUUCUAAUUCUUUAGAGCCUCCACACCCAAAAUCUCAAAAGCAACUGGAACUGAUGUAGAUUUAGAUAUCAUAUUCAAACCUGAGGUCUCCUCUUCAGAACUCCCAGAAAAUAGUGUUGUUGCCCAAACCAUACAGGCUGUAAAUGGGUCCAGUGGUGUGUUUAAUGUCACUAUAAAUCCCAGCUCUAUUCAAAUCACUUCAAGUCCAAAACCGACAACUGCUGCACCUACAAUUGUGAAGCCAACAACUAUUCCACCAGCAACUCCUACAUCUGCAUCUAGAGUGGUGUCUUUCAGGUCACUUAAAGAUAAUUUUACCCUGGAUCUGCUUGACUUAUCCUCUGUAUCUUUUAAAAACCGAGCUUCUAUGAUAAAGGGGCAGAUCGAGCCUCUAUGUAAAGAUGCAUUCCCCACCUCCUUCAUUUCACUGGAUGUUCUGGCAUUUGGGAAUGGUUCAGUCAUUACUUAUUUACGUCUCCAUUUUGUAAGCACAUCAGUUCCGAACAACACUGCGAUAAGAAAUGUCUUUCUACACGCCUCUUCAGUCGUCACAGGCUUUGACAUUGAAGGCAGCUCCAUCACUGUUGAUGGCAUUUGUAAGUAAUUCAAACUGGAUUUUUUUUUCUCUCAAACAAUGUCAACAAAUGUUUUCUCUUCACAGCUUCAAGAGGAGUAAACCAAAAGAUCAGCCUCAUCACUGCAAUAUGCCUUGCAAUUGUCUCAUGGCUCCUGUCAAGCCAACACUAGAAUUCGUGACAACUUUAUUUUGGAAGGAUAUUGUAACACAAACUUUCUGCAAUGGAAAGGGAUAAUGUUGGGAAAAUGUUAAGUUUAGUGUGGCACAUGUUGCACAUAUUCAAUUUAGCUAUUUCCCCUGAUCAGUCACAUCACAGGUGAUAGUUUAGUUAGGUCUGAUGAAGUGAUCACGAUUCGCCCAGAAAAUAAAAAAUGAAAGAAUAUCUAAAUGAAACCAAUCAUGGUGCAAUGAAAACAAAGUUUUUUGAAAAUGACAACUGUUGCACAAGGAUUGUAUGACUGGAUUCAUCCAUGCAGUGAUGAAACUUCACAGUUGUAUGAUAUGUACAGUAUAUGGUAAAUCUUAAGUUAAUGUAAUAGACUAUAUUACAGAAACCUUAUAUUAAGACAAUUUAUACACUUUUGCACUUUUCUUCCUAUUUGAAAUCGAAAUUGUACACAGACCCAUAUCUUGUUUUUUUUUUUUAGCAAUAGGAAACGUUAAACUACACUAUUUAAAAUAUAAUGGUUGGAAAUAAGCACCGUUACACAAAUACACCAGAAACAAAACAUAAUGUAACCAAGUAGUGAAUAUUUAUGGCUGUCUAAAAAUGUAUGUAUUAUUCAUGUUUUAAAUUGCAAGUUGAUUGUGAUCCCAAUGUUGCAUUGAUUUUUAUAUAAAAAGUGUAUUUAUUUAAUGAAAAAAAUAAUCAAUUUUUACUUGUUCUUUACUACUCAUUUUAUGUUGUUUUUCUGUACAAUUCUUUUGUGUAAGAACAAAAUAAUAAAAACAA